AUUGAACGCUGGCGGCAGGCCUAACACAUGCAAGUCGAGCGGAUGAAGGGAGCUUGCUCCUGGAUUCAGCGGCGGACGGGUGAGUAAUGCCUAGGAAUCUGCCUGGUAGUGGGGGAUAACUUCGGAAACCGGGCGCUAAUACCGCAUCCGUCCUAGGGGGGAAAGUGGGGGAUCUUCGGACCUCACGCUAUCGGAUGAGCCUAGGUCGGAUUAGCUAGUUGGUGGGGUAAAGGCCUACCAAGGCGACGAUCCGUAACUGGUCUGAGAGGAUGAUCAGUCACACUGGAACUGAGACACGGUCCAGACUCCUACGGGAGGCAGCAGUGGGGAAUAUUGGACAAUGGGCGAAAGCCUGAUCCAGCCAUGCCGCGUGUGUGAAGAAGGUCUUCGGAUUGUAAAGCACUUUAAGUUGGGAGGAAGGGCAGUAAGUUAAUACCUUGCUGUUUUGACGUUACCAACAGAAUAAGCACCGGCUAACUUCGUG
rnacentral:rRNA from 1 species